rnacentral:lncRNA from 1 species
CAAAUGUGGUGAAGGCUGGGCAUGCGUUGUCACCAAAACCGAGGAACCUGCUGCCACCAACGCCUUCUUCAAAUGCGCCGAAAAGUGUACCUGUCUCAUGUAAGCGUUUUUUCAACUGUAAUACUCCAUUCCUGCAUGUAAUUUGUCCCAUUGAAAAAACUCUUUAAAUUGUUAUAGAGAAUUUCCCCUUGAAAACUCAAACUCUUCUUUGCCCAAUACUUCACAGAUAUCUAUGCUAUUCUCAUACAUCGAAAGAGGGAAAAAUAUAGCUUAGCUAGGUAUGCUUAUAGUUGUGAUGAAGAACUAAAAUUUGAGGUGUGUGUACACAUGCAUUAUUUGAAUCUGAAGUAGGUUGGGUCUUGGGUGCAUCACUCUAUCACACAACACUGUAUGUAAUGCCUAACAUCUUUUUAGCAGAGAUACAAAAACAGAGGGGGACUCAAAGACGUACGCCCUAAAGAGUCCCGGAGCAGGCAUGGCGAUUUGCAGAGUUGGAGAAGGCUACACCUGCGUCAUUACCAAGAUCACUGGGCCGGAUGCAGGCAAGACAUUUGUGGAGUGCGGUGGAGGUUGCACGUGUGUGAUUAAUGGACCUUAGAA